rnacentral:rRNA from 1 species
GACGAACGCUGGCGGCGUGCUUAACACAUGCAAGUCGAACGGAAAGGCCCUGCUUUUGUGGGGUGCUCGAGUGGCGAACGGGUGAGUAACACGUGAGUAACCUGCCCUUGACUUUGGGAUAACUUCAGGAAACUGGGGCUAAUACCGGAUAGGAGCUCCUGCUGCAUGGUGGGGGUUGGAAAGUUUCGGCGGUUGGGGAUGGACUCGCGGCUUAUCAGCUUGUUGGUGGGGUAGUGGCUUACCAAGGCUUUGACGGGUAGCCGGCCUGAGAGGGUGACCGGCCACAUUGGGACUGAGAUACGGCCCAGACUCCUACGGGAGGCAGCAGUGGGGAAUAUUGCACAAUGGGCGGAAGCCUGAUGCAGCAACGCCGCGUGCGGGAUGACGGCCUUCGGGUUGUAAACCGCUUUCGCCUGUGACGAAGCGUGAGUGACGGUAAUGGGUAAAGAAGCACCGGCUAACUACGUGCCAGCAGCCACGGUGAUACGUAGGGUGCGAGCGUUGUCCGGAUUUAUUGGGCGUAAAGGGCUCGUAGGUGGUUGAUCGCGUCGGAAGUGUAAUCUUGGGGCUUAACCCUGAGCGUGCUUUCGAUACGGGUUGACUUGAGGAAGGUAGGGGAGAAUGGAAUUCCUGGUGGAGCGGUGGAAUGCGCAGAUAUCAGGAGGAACACCAGUGGCGAAGGCGGUUCUCUGGGCCUUUCCUGACGCUGAGGAGCGAAAGCGUGGGGAGCGAACAGGCUUAGAUACCCUGGUAGUCCACGCUGUAAACGGUGGGUACUAGGUGUGGGGUCCAUUCCACGGGUUCCGUGCCGUAGCUAACGCUUUAAGUACCCCGCCUGGGGAGUACGGCCGCAAGGCUAAAACUCAAAGGAAUUGACGGGGCCCCGCACAAGCGGCGGAGCAUGCGGAUUAAUUCGAUGCAACGCGUAGAACCUUACCUGGGUUUGACAUGGAUCGGGAGUGCUCAGAGAUGGGUGUGCCUCUUUUGGGGUCGGUUCACAGGUGGUGCAUGCCUGUCGUCAGCUCGUGUCGUGAGAUGUUGGGUUAAGUCCCGCAACGAGCGCAACCCUUGUUCACUGUUGCCAGCACGUUAUGGUGGGGACUCAGUGGAGACCGCCGGGGUCAACUCGGAGGAAGGUGGGGAUGACGUCAAGUCAUCAUGCCCCUUAUGUCCAGGGCUUCACGCAUGCUACAAUGGCUGGUACAGAGAGUGGCGAGCCUGUGAGGGUGAGCGAAUCUCGGAAAGCCGGUCUCAGUUCGGAUUGGGGUCUGCAACUCGACCUCAUGAAGUCGGAGUCGCUAGUAAUCGCAGAUCAGCAACGCUGCGGUGAAUACGUUCCCGGG